rnacentral:rRNA from 1 species
UGGGGAAUUUUGGACAAUGGGGGAAACCCUGAUCCAGCCAUCCCGCGUGUGCGAUGAAGGCCUUCGGGUUGUAAAGCACUUUUGGCAGGAAAGAAACGUCGCGGGUUAAUACCUCGCGAAACUGACGGUACCUGCAGAAUAAGCACCGGCUAACUACGUGCCAGCAGCCGCGGUAAUACGUAGGGUGCAAGCGUUAAUCGGAAUUACUGGGCGUAAAGCGUGCGCAGGCGGUUCGGAAAGAAAGAUGUGAAAUCCCAGAGCUUAACUUUGGAACUGCAUUUUUAACUACCGGGCUAGAGUGUGUCAGAGGGAGGUGGAAUUCCGCGUGUAGCAGUGAAAUGCGUAGAUAUGCGGAGGAACACCGAUGGCGAAGGCAGCCUCCUGGGAUAACACUGACGCUCAUGCACGAAAGCGUGGGGAGCAAACAG